GAGGGACCCGCACAAGCAGCGGAGCGUGUGGUUUAAUUCGUUGCUACACGAAGAACCUUACCUGGGUUGACAUAUAGGUGUAGGGAACUGAAAGGGACCGACCCUUCGGGGAGCCUAUACAGGUGUUGCAUGGCUGUCGUCAGCUCGUGUCGUGAGAUGUUCGGUUAAGUCCGCUAACGAGCGCAACCCUUGUCGUAUGUUAUAUGUGUCAUACGAGACUGCCGGUAAAAAGCCGGAGGAAGGUGAGGAUGAUGUCAAGUCAGCAUGACCUUUAUAUCCAGGGCUACACACACGCUACAAUGGUCUGUACAAUGGGUAGCCAAGCCGCGAGGCGGAGCCAAUCCUGAAAGCAGGCCUCAGUUCAGAUUGCAGUCUGCAACUCGACUGCAUGAAGCCGGAGUUGCUAGUAACCGCAGGUCAGCAUGCCGCGGUGAAUACGUUCCCGGGCCUU
rnacentral:rRNA from 1 species